CCUACGGGGUGCAGCAGUGAGGAAUAUUGGUCAAUGGACGCAAGUCUGAACCAGCCAAGUAGCGUGCAGGAUGACGGCCCUCCGGGUUUUAAACUGCUUUUAGUUGGGAAUAAAAGGGGGCUCGUGAGCCCCGUAUUGUAUGUACCAUCAGAAAAAGGACCGGCUAAUUCCGUGCCAGCAGCAGCGGUACUACGGAAGGUCCGGGCGUUAACCGGAUUUAUUGGGUUUAAAGGGCGUGUAGCCGGGCUGACAAGUCAGAUGUGCAAUCCCGUGGCUCAACCACGGAACUGCAUUUGAAACUGUAGGUCUUGAGUAUCGGAGAGGCAGGCGGAAUUCCUAGGGUAGCGGUGAAAUGCGUAGAUAUUAGGAGGAACACCAGUGGCGAAGGCGGCCUGCUGGACGAUAACGGACGGUGAGGCGCGAAAGCGUGGGGAGCAAACAGGAUUAGAUACCCCUGUAGUC
rnacentral:rRNA from 1 species